rnacentral:rRNA from 1 species
UACAGAGGUCCCAAGCGUUUGUUCGGAUUCACUGGGCGUAAAGGGUGCGUAGGUGGUGAGGUAAGUCGGAUGUGAAAUCUCCGGGCUCAACCCGGAAAUGGCAUUGGAAACUACCUUGCUGGAGGAUUUGAGGGGGGAUUGGAAUACUUGGUGUAGCAGUGAAAUGCGUAGAUAUCAAGUGGAACACCAGUGGCGAAGGCGAAAUCCCUGGAAAAUACCUGACACUGAGGCACGAAAGCUAGGGGAGCAAACAGG